rnacentral:rRNA from 1 species
UGGGGAAUAUUGCACAAUGGGCGAAAGCCUGAUGCAGCGACGCCGCGUGAGGGAUGACGGCCUUCGGGUUGUAAACCUCUUUCAGCAGGGACGAAGCGCAUGUGACGGUACCUGCAGAAGAAGCACCGGCUAACUACGUGCCAGCAGCCGCGGUAAUACGUAGGGUGCAAGCGUUGUCCGGAAUUACUGGGCGUAAAGAGUUCGUAGGCGGUUUGUCGCGUCGUUUGUGAAAACCAGCAGCUCAACUGCUGGCUUGCAGGCGAUACGGGCAGACUUGAGUACUGCAGGGGAGACUGGAAUUCCUGGUGUAGCGGUGAAAUGCGCAGAAAUCAGGCGGAACACCGGUCGCGAAGGCGGAUCUCUGGGCAGUAACUGACGCUGAAAAACGAAAGCGUGGGUAGCGAACGGG